AACGAACGCUGGCGGCGUGCCUAACACAUGCAAGUCGAACGUGAUUGAAGAGCUUGCUCCUCAUGAAAGUGGCGCACGGGUGAGUAACGCGUAGAUAAUCUACCUGAUGAUUCGGGAUAACACUUCGAAAGGGGUGCUAAUACGGGAUAAGCCCACGGAGUCUUUGGACACUGCGGGAAAAGGAGGGGACCUUCGGGCCUUCCGUCAUCAGAUGAGUCUGCGUACCAUUAGCUAGUUGGUAGGGUAAAGGCCUACCAAGGCGACGAUGGUUAGCUGGUCUGAGAGGAUGAUCAGCCACACUGGAACUGAGACACGGUCCAGACUCCUACGGGAGGCAGCAGUGGGGAAUUUUGCGCAAUGGGGGAAACCCUGACGCAGCAACGCCGCGUGAGUGAUGAAGGCCCUUGGGUCGUAAAGCUCUGACAGAGGGAAAGAAAUGUGGGUGGCUAAUAUCCAUUCCACUUGACGGUACCCUCAAAGGAAGCACCGGCUAACUCCGUGCCAGCAGCCGCGGUAAAAC
rnacentral:rRNA from 1 species